UUAACUUUUAUAUUAUUAUUUAGUUUUUAGUUUUUUUCUUAAUUUGAUAAAAAUAAUUUAUUUUUUUAGUAUGAGUUUAUUGAAUUUAUUUUUUUAAUUAUAGUUUAGUGUACCGUAAGGGUUAUAUUCAUUAAUUCUAUUUAAGUAUACUUUUUUGUAGUACCUUUUGUAUCAGGGUUUAUUUACUUAUUUUAUUUAUUUAUAAUUUUCCCGAAAUUUAAGGAGCUAUCUAUUUAUGAUUUUUAAUGUGAUAAAAUUAUUUUUAAUAAAUUUGAUUGUAAUUAUAUGUUAUUCAUCUUAUUAUAUCUGGUUAUUUAGUAAUUGAAUUUAAUUCAUAGGUUUAAUUGAAUAUAUAUAAAUUAAUUUAUUUUUUUAAUAUUCCUUAAUGUUCUUGGGGAUAAUCUUGAGUUCAUGUUUAUAACUUUAUUUUAAUUUUAAUGUAAGUAGGCUUAUUAACAGCCAUCAUUUUAUUUCGUUAUAGUUAAUUUUAAUUAAUUAUUAAUUUAGAUUUAAUGUUUAAUAUUCUACUAAAUUUAGGGUUAUAUUUUUUUAUACCUUGUAAUAAUGAUAGAAUUAGUAGUUUUUAUAAUUUAAGUUUUGUAAUUCGGCAAAUUUUAUUCUCGCCUGUUUAACAAAAACAUGUCCUUUAGUUUAUAAAUUUAAGGUCUGACCUGCUCAAUGAUUUUAUUUAACAGCCGCAGUAUUUUAACUGUGCGAAGGUAGCAUAAUCACUUGUCUUUUAAUUGAGGGCUGGAAUGAAUGGUUGGACGAGGAAUAAGCUUUCUUAGCUUAAAUUUUAUUAAUUUAAUUUCUUAGUUAAAAGGCUAAGAUUUUUUUGUUAGACGAGAAGACCCUAUAGAAUUUUAUAUAUCUUAUUAUGUAAUUUUUUAGAUUUAAUAUGAUUCCAUUUUAUGGUGUAUUUUGUUGGGGUGACAGAAAUUUUUUUUUAACAAUUUUUUAUUUAUUAUCUUUGAUUUAAGUUUUAAUUGAUCCUUUAUUUAUUGAUUAUAAGAUUAAAUUACCUUAGGGAUAACAGCGUAAUUCUUUUGGGGAGUUCAUAUCUAUGAAGGAGUUUGCGACCUCGAUGUUGGAUUAAAGUUUAGAUUUGGUGUAGAAGUUAAAUCUUUAGGUCUGUUCGACCUUUAAUUCUUUACAUGAUCUGAGUUCAGACCGGCGUGAGCCAGGUUGGUUUCUAUCUACAAAUGUCAUGAAUUUUCUUAGUACGAAAGGACCAGGAAGUUGCAAUAGUUGUUUUUUUAUGAUUUAUAUU
rnacentral:rRNA from 1 species